rnacentral:rRNA from 1 species
CACCGCCCGUCACAGCACGAAAGUUGUUUGCACCCAAAGUUCCUUUAGCUAACUCGUAAGAGAGGCGUGGACCUAAGGUGCGAGGGAUGAUUGUGCUG